AAUCAUGGCUCAGGACGAACGCUGGCGGCGUGCUUAACACAUGCAAGUCGUACGGUAAGGCCCUUUCGGGGGUACACGAGUGGCGAACGGGUGAGUAACACGUGAGUAACCUACCCACAACUUUGGGAUAACGCUAGGAAACUGGUGCUAAUACUGGAUAUGUGCUCCUGCUGCAUGGUGGGGGUUGGAAAGCUCCGGCGGUUGUGGAUGGACUCGCGGCCUAUCAGCUUGUUGGUGGGGUAGUGGCCUACCAAGGCGG
rnacentral:rRNA from 1 species